rnacentral:rRNA from 1 species
UACGGAGGGUGCAAGCGUUGUUCGGAUUUACUGGGCGUAAAGCGCGCGCAGGUGGGUGUACAAGUCGGAAGUGAAAUCUCGAGGCUCAACCUUGAGGCUGCUCCCGAAACUGUACGCCUAGGGACAGGUAGAGGCUGGUAGAAUUCCCGGUGUAGCGGUGGAAUGCGUAGAGAUCGGGAAGAAUACCUGUGGCGAAGGCGGCCAGCUGGGCCAGAUCCGACACUGAGGCGCGAAAGCGUGGGGAGCAAACAGG